AACGAACGCUGGCGGCGUGCCUAACACAUGCAAGUCGAACGUGAUUGGAAGCUUGCUUCCAUGAAAGUGGCGCACGGGUGAGUAACGCGUAGAUAAUCUGCCUGAUGAUCCGGGAUAACACCUCGAAAGGGGUGCUAAUACCGGAUAAGCCCACGGGGUCUUUGGACUCUGCGGGAAAAGGGGGGGACCUUCGGGCCUUCUGUCAUCAGAUGAGUCUGCGUACCAUUAGCUAGUUGGUAGGGUAAAGGCCUACCAAGGCGAUGAUGGUUAGCUGGUCUGAGAGGAUGAUCAGCCACACUGGAACUGAGACACGGUCCAGACUCCUACGGGAGGCAGCAGUGGGGAAUUUUGCGCAAUGGGGGGAACCCUGACGCAGCAACGCCGCGUGAGUGAUGAAGGCUCUUGGGUCGUAAACCGCUGUCAGAGGGGAUGAAAUACUAGAGGGUUCUCUCUCUAGCUUGACAGAUCCUCAGAGGAAGUACGGGCUAAGUUCGUGCCAGCAGCCGCAGUAAGAC
rnacentral:rRNA from 1 species